rnacentral:rRNA from 1 species
AGUGGCGGACGGGUGAGUAACGCGUGAGAAUCUGCCUUGGGGUCGGGGACAACCACUGUAAACGGUGGCUAAUACCGGAUAAGCCGAUUGGUGAAAGAUUUAUUGCCCGAAGAGGAGCUCGCGUCUGAUUAGCUAGUUGGUGAGGUAAGAGCUCACCAAGGCAGCGAUCAGUAGCUGGUCUGAGAGGACGAUCAGCCACACUGGGACUGAGACACGGCCCAGACUCCUACGGGAGGCAGCAGUGGGGAAUUUUCCGCAAUGGGCGAAAGCCUGACGGAGCAAGACCGCGUGAGGGAGGAAGGCUCUUGGGUUGUAAACCUCUUUUCUCAGGGAAGAAGCUCUGACGGUACCUGAGGAAUCAGCCUCGGCUAACUCCGUGCCAGCAGCCGCGGUAAUACGGAGGAGGCAAGCGUUAUCCGGAAUUAUUGGGCGUAAAGCGUCCGCAGGUGGCGAUUCAAGUCUGCUGUCAAAGCACGGGGCUUAACUCCGUAAAGGCAGUGGAAACUGAAUAGCUAGAGUGCCGUAGGGGUAGAGGGAAUUCCCGGUGUAGCGGUGAAAUGCGUAGAGAUCGGGAAGAACAUCGGUGGCGAAAGCGCUCUACUGGACGGCAACUGACACUCAGGGACGAAAGCUAGGGGAGCGAAUGGGAUUAGAUACCCC